AUGUUUGCGCCACCUACAGCCUCGGAGGGUGAGCGUCAUGGCGGCUUCUUGCCCUCUCCCGGUGACCCCGGAUCUGCCCACGCUGCGUGCCAAGUUGCAGGGACUGCUGCAGUUCCUGAGGGAUGCCCUGUCCAUUUCCAAUGCACAUACCGUGGAUUUCUACACAGAAUCCGUGUGGGAGGAGCUGGUCAACUUGCCACCGGAGACAGUGCUGGCUGCGCUGAGGAAGUCAGCGUCGGAGACGGAGGCCCUGCCCUCAGAGACGCGCCCCCUAGUGGAAGCAGAGUGGGAAGCAGGUGGGUGGUGGGGUAGGCGGGGCGGGAAGGGAGGCGGAGGAGAAGGUCCCGGCAGACGAAGCGAGCCCCCUGGUGGAAGCCAGCAGAACCAGGUAUGACUGAUUUUCCCAAAAUAUUUUGUGAAACUUCUCAGAAGUUGGUGAGUGUGGAAGCCUUUGCUCUGGCUGCGAAAUACUAUUCUGUACAAAACUUGGGAAUAUGUACUCCUUUUGAACAGUUGCUUGUAGCCCUUCGAGGAAAUCAAACCCAGAGAAUUGGUAUG
rnacentral:sRNA from 1 species